CUGCACAGUGGAGCUAGGAGUAGAGGUGAAGUAAAGAGUCUGCAGAUGUGGAACCCACUGGAGCUGUCUAAUCCUGCCUAAAAGCUAUUCCAGACACUACAAACCCUGAGAUACCUCUUUUGUGGGGUUCAAAAGUAAGACACCCAUGAUCCUUUAUGUCCUGCAUCUGGUGAGGCCAGUGUUAAUCGUUUCAGGGGAACAGAAGAUCCAUGGCUACUACAGAUCUGCGAAAACCCACAGGUGUUUCUGUCCAUCCUUUCACUAAGAAGACAUCUCUGCACCAUGGGUCCAAAGUGAUAUUUAGCUGUCAAGAAGCCGUUACUGAGAAUAAGAAAAAGACAGCCCUUUAGAGUUCCAGAAGCAAGAGUCAUGAUCCAAAAAACAAUCAUUUCUGGAGGAAGAGAGACCCGUUCUAUGCUAAUCUGUAAUGUGGAAGUACCACCUGCAUGUUUCUGCGCACAAUGGGAUGAUACAGCUGAAAUAUGGUGGGUGUUGAAAUGAGGGAUGUUGGACAAAUGCUUCCUGAUCCUGACUCAAUGCAUGAACUCAAGUAAACAACAUACGAGGUAUUACAAUUAGUAUAUUGUUUUAUGUUGUGUGUUGAACCAGUAGCAUAUGAUGUAAAACUACCUCCU